GAGGGACAAGGGUCCUUUGUCUCCCUCCUACCCUUUCCAGACUGUGUUUGAGUGUCGUUUCCAUACCAUGUCUCAGAGCAUAGGAAAAUAAAGCCCUGUACCCAGACCAUGAGAGAACUCCCUCGGAUGCUGUUGAGGUUAAGAGCCUUCUGUGGAAAUAGUGCCAAAUAACAGAUACAUGCACCUAAAGGUGGUGGAAGAAAUUCUGGAAAGAAGAAAACAGUCACUGGAACCCAGCUAGAAUCAACUAAGAGAAGCGAUGUGAAUAAUACACAUUGACAGGUAAGGCAAAAAAAAUAACUCUACAGUUUUUGACUUUGGAUAUAUAAGCAACACCUACACAUUCACUCUUAACAUGAAUGUACAUUUCUUUGGCUGACUCUCUCUCACCUCAUGAUUUGAUCCUACUCUCC